GUGAGAAUCUGCCUUGGGGUCGGGGACAACCACUGGAAACGGUGGCUAAUACCGGAUAAGCCUUUGGGUAAAAAAUUUAUUGCCCCAAGAGGAGCUCGCGUCUGAUUAGCUAGUUGGUGAGGUAAAAGCUCACCAAGGCAGCGAUCAGUAGCUGGUCUGAGAGGACGAUCAGCCACACUGGGACUGAGACACGGCCCAGACUCCUACGGGAGGCAGCAGUGGGGAAUUUUCCGCAAUGGGCGAAAGCCUGACGGAGCAAGACCGCGUGAGGGAGGAAGGCUCUUGGGUUGUAAACCUCUUUUCUCAGGGAAGAAGCUCUGACGGUACCUGAGGAAUCAGCCUCGGCUAACUCCGUGCCAGCAGCCGCGGUAAUACGGAGGAGGCAAGCGUUAUCCGGAAUUAUUGGGCGUAAAGCGUCCGCAGGUGGCGAUUCAAGUCUGCUGUCAAAGCACGGGGCUUAACUCCGUUAAGGCAGUGGAAACUGAAUAGCUAGAGUGCCGUAGGGGUAGAGGGAAUUCCCGGUGUAGCGGUGAAAUGCGUAGAGAUCGGGAAGAACAUCGGUGGCGAAAGCGCUCUACUGGACGGCAACUGACACUCAGGGACGAAAGCUAGGGGAGCGAAUGGGAUUAGAUACCCCAGUAGUCCUAGCUGUAAACGAUGGAUACUAGGUGUAGCUUGUAUCGACCCGAGCUGUGCCGAAGCUAACGCGUUAAGUAUCCCGCCUGGGGAGUACGCACGCAAGUGUGAAACUCAAAGGAAUUGACGGGGGCCCGCACAAGCGGUGGAGUAUGUGGUUUAAUUCGAUGCAACGCGAAGAUCCUUACCAGGGCUUUACAUGUCCGGAAUCUCGGUGAAAGCUGGGAGUGCCUUCGGGAGCCGGAUCACAGGUGGUGCAUGGCUGUCGUCAGCUGUUGUCGUGAGAUGUUGGGUUAAGUCCCGCAACGAGCGCAACCCUCGUCUUUAGUUGCCAGCAUUAAGUUGGGCACUCUAGAGAGACUGCCGGUGACAAACCGGAGGAAGGUGGGGAUGACGUCAAGUCAGCAUGCCCCUUACGCUCUGGGCGACACACGUACUACAAUGGUCGGGACAGAGGGCAGCGAACCUGCGAAGGCAAGCUAAUCCCAGCAAACUACGGCCUCAGUUCAGAU
rnacentral:rRNA from 1 species